rnacentral:lncRNA from 1 species
UUGAAAUAUAAUGAUGCAUCAUCUCCAAUUUUACUUAGAAUGGUCAAUCUCAUCUUGACUUGCACUCUGACUUCGCAAGUACUUGAUCGUAUCCAGAAAUCUUUCAUCAUCGAAUUAAAAAUUUGGAUAGUCUGGCUGCUAAGCAUAGUGAGUUGCUUGCAAGUCAUUGAGGCAGCCUUAAGUCUGAGAGACACUUAUACCCAUAUCCCAUC